rnacentral:misc_RNA from 1 species
GAUGAAGAACGCAGCGAAAUGCGAUAAGUAAUGUGAAUUGCAGAAUUCAGUGAAUCAUCGAAUCUUUGAACGCACCUUGCACCCUUUGGCAUUCCGAAGGGUAUGCUCGUUUGAGUGUCAUUGUACUCUCACUCUCCCGAUGCUUUUGGAUCGGGAGUGGUGGACUUGGGUGUUGCUGCUUUGCUGUGGCUCGCCUCAAAUGGAGUAGUGCAACUCUUGGUUGGACAUAGUACGGCGUGAUAAGUGUCUUCGCCGGCGCCUCAUUAUAGAGGGUGGCCGAUCGGGAGCUCUGUGCUUCAAACCGUCUUCGGACAACAUAUGACAACUUGACCUCAAAUCGAGUAGGACUACCCGCUGAACUUAAGCAUAUCAAUAAGCGGAGGA